rnacentral:rRNA from 1 species
GGAGUGGGGCUAAUACAUGCAAGUCGAGCGAAUGGAUUAAGAGCUUGCUCUUAUGAAGUUAGCGGCGGACGGGUGAGUAACACGUGGGUAACCUGCCCAUAAGACUGGGAUAACUCCGGGAAACCGGGGCUAAUACCGGAUAACAUUUUGAACCGCAUGGUUCGAAAUUGAAAGGCGGCUUCGGCUGUCACUUAUGGAUGGACCCGCGUCGCAUUAGCUAGUUGGUGAGGUAACGGCUCACCAAGGCAACGAUGCGUAGCCGACCUGAGAGGGUGAUCGGCCACACUGGGACUGAGACACGGCCCAGACUCCUACGGGAGGCAGCAGUAGGGAAUCUUCCGCAAUGGACGAAAGUCUGACGGAGCAACGCCGCGUGAGUGAUGAAGGCUUUCGGGUCGUAAAACUCUGUUGUUAGGGAAGAACAAGUGCUAGUUGAAUAAGCUGGCACCUUGACGGUACCUAACCAGAAAGCCACGGCUAACUACGUGCCAGCAGCCGCGGUAAUACGUAGGUGGCAAGCGUUAUCCGGAAUUAUUGGGCGUAAAGCGCGCGCAGGUGGUUUCUUAAGUCUGAUGUGAAAGCCCACGGCUCAACCGUGGAGGGUCAUUGGAAACUGGGAGACUUGAGUGCAGAAGAGGAAAGUGGAAUUCCAUGUGUAGCGGUGAAAUGCGUAGAGAUAUGGAGGAACACCAGUGGCGAAGGCGACUUUCUGGUCUGUAACUGACACUGAGGCGCGAAAGUCUGCCCUC